rnacentral:rRNA from 1 species
GAUGAACGCUGGCGGCACGCCUAACACAUGCAAGUCGAACGGAGUUUUGAGAGCUUGCUCUCAAAACUUAGUGGCGGACGGGUGAGUAACACGUGAGCAACCUGCCUUUCAGAGAGGGAUAGCUUCUGGAAACGGAUGGUAAUACCUCAUAAAAUAUUUUGUGGCAUCACAGAAAUAUCAAAGAUUUAUCGCUGAAAGAUGGGCUCGCGUCUGAUUAGCUAGUUGGUGAGGUAACGGCCCACCAAGGCAACGAUCAGUAGCCGACCUGAGAGGGUGAUCGGCCACACUGGGACUGAGACACGGCCCAG